CCUGGCGGCACUAGCGCGGUGGUCCCACCUGACCCCAUGCCGAACUCAGAAGUGAAACGCCGUAGCGCCGAUGGUAGUGUGGGGUCUCCCCAUGCGAGAGUAGGGAACUGCCAGCC
rnacentral:rRNA from 1 species